GAUGAACGCUGGCGGCGUGCCUAAUACAUGCAAGUCGAGCGAACAGACGAGGAGCUUGCUCCUCUGACGUUAGCGGCGGACGGGUGAGUAACACGUGGAUAACCUACCUAUAAGACUGGGAUAACUUCGGGAAACCGGAGCUAAUACCGGAUAAUAUAUUGAACCGCAUGGUUCAAUAGUGAAAGACGGUUUUGCUGUCACUUAUAGAUGGAUCCGCGCCGGAUUAGCUAGUUGGUAAGGUAACGGCUUACCAAGGCAACGAUGCGUAGCCGACCUGAGAGGGUGAUCGGCCACACUGGAACUGAGACACGGUCCAGACUCCUACGGGAGGCAGCAGUAGGGAAUCUUCCGCAAUGGGCGAAAGCCUGACCGAGCAACGCCGCGUGAGUGAAGAAGGUCUUCGGAUCGUAAAACCCUGUUAUUAGGGAAGAACAAAUGUGUAAGUAACUAUGCACGUCUUGACGGUACCUAAUCAGAAAGCCACGGCUAACUACGUG
rnacentral:rRNA from 1 species